CCUACGGGUGGCUGCAGUGGGGAAUAUUGGGCAAUGGGCGGAAGCCUGACCCAGCGACGCCGCGUGGGGGAAGAAGUCUUUCGGGAUGUAAACCCUUGUUGUACGGGACGAAGGAAGUGACGGUACCGUACGAGGAAGCCCCGGCAAACUACGUGCCAGCAGCCGCGGUAAUACGUAGGGGGCGAGCGUUGUCCGGAAUCACUGGGCGUAAAGCGCACGUAGGCGGGCUGUCAAGUCGGCCGUGAAAGGCACGGGCUCAACCUGUGCAUGUCGGU
rnacentral:rRNA from 1 species